rnacentral:rRNA from 1 species
AGUCGAGCGGUAGCACGAGAGCUUGCUCUCGGGUGACGAGCGGCGGACGGGUGAGUAAUGUCUGGGAAACUGCCUGAUGGAGGGGGAUAACUACUGGAAACGGUAGCUAAUACCGCAUAAUGUCGCAAGACCAAAGUGGGGGACCUUCGGGCCUCAUGCCAUCAGAUGUGCCCAGAUGGGAUUAGCUAGUAGGUGGGGUAACGGCUCACCUAGGCGACGAUCCCUAGCUGGUCUGAGAGGAUGACCAGCCACACUGGAACUGAGACACGGUCCAGACUCCUACGGGAGGCAGCAGUGGGGAAUAUUGCACAAUGGGCGCAAGCCUGAUGCAGCCAUGCCGCGUGUGUGAAGAAGGCCUUCGGGUUGUAAAGCACUUUCAGCGGGGAGGAAGGCGGUGAGGUUAAUAACCUCAUCGAUUGACGUUACCCGCAGAAGAAGCACCGGCUAACUCCGUGCCAGCAGCCGCGGUAAUACGGAGGGUGCAAGCGUUAAUCGGAAUUACUGGGCGUAAAGCGCACGCAGGCGGUCUGUCAAGUCGGAUGUGAAAUCCCCGGGCUCAACCUGGGAACUGCAUUCGAAACUGGCAGGCUAGAGUCUUGUAGAGGGGGGUAGAAUUCCAGGUGUAGCGGUGAAAUGCGUAGAGAUCUGGAGGAAUACCGGUGGCGAANGCGGCCCCCUGGACAAGACUGACGCUCANGUGCGAAAGCGUGGGGAAGCAACAGGAUUAGAUACCCUGGUAGUCCACGCCGUANACGAUGUCGAUUUGAAGUUGUGCCCUUGAGCGUGGCUUCGGAGCUACGCGUUAAUCGACCGCUGGGAGUAGGCCCGCAGGUAAACUGACCGCCUGGGGAGUACGGCCGCAAGGUUAAAACUCAAAUGAAUUGACGGGGGCCCGCACAAGCGGUGGAGCAUGUGGUUUAAUUCGAUGCAACGCGAAGAACCUUACCUGGUCUUGACAUCCACAGAACUUUCCAGAGAUGGAUUGGUGCCUUCGGGAACUGUGAGACAGGUGCUGCAUGGCUGUCGUCAGCUCGUGUUGUGAAAUGUUGGGUUAAGUCCCGCAACGAGCGCAACCCUUAUCCUUUGUUGCCAGCGGUUCGGCCGGGAACUCAAAGGAGACUGCCAGUGAUAAACUGGAGGAAGGUGGGGAUGACGUCAAGUCAUCAUGGCCCUUACGACCAGGGCUACACACGUGCUACAAUGGCAUAUACAAAGAGAAGCGACCUCGCGAGAGCAAGCGGACCUCAUAAAGUAUGUCGUAGUCCGGAUUGGAGUCUGCAACUCGACUCCAUGAAGUCGGAAUCGCUAGUAAUCGUAGAUCAGAAUGCUACGGUGAAUACGUUCCCGGGCCUUGUACACACCGCCCGUCACACCAUGGGAGUGGGUUGCAAAAGAAGUAGGUAGCUUAACCUUCGGGAGGGCGCUUACCAC